GACAACUCGGAGGAAGGUGGGGAUGACGUCAAAUCAUCAUGGCCCUUAUGUCUUGGGCUACACACGUGCUACAAUGGCUGAAACAAAGGGAAGCGACAACGUAAGUUGAAGCGGAUCUCAAAAAAACAGUCCCAGUUCGGAUUGUGGGCUGCAACCCGCCCACAUGAAGUCGGAGUUGCUAGUAAUCGCGGAUCAGCAUGCCGCGGUGAAUACGUUCCCGGGCCUU
rnacentral:rRNA from 1 species